UACGGGGGGCGCAAGCGUUGCUCGGAAUCACUGGGCGUAAAGCGUCCGCAGGCGGCUUGGUAAGUCGGGUGUGAAAGCCCGGAGCUCAACUCCGGAACUGCAUUCGAAACUGCCUGGCUCGAGUACGGGAGAGGAUGGCGGAAUUCCUGGUGUAGAGGUGAAAUUCGUAGAUAUCAGGAGGAACACCGGUGGCGAAAGCGGCCAUCUGGCCCGAUACUGACGCUCAUGGACGAAAGCGCGGGGAGCAAAC
rnacentral:rRNA from 1 species